CUCAGAUUGAACGCUGGCGGCAGGCCUAACACAUGCAAGUCGAGCGGUAGAGAGAAGCUUGCUUCUCUUGAGAGCGGCGGACGGGUGAGUAAUGCCUAGGAAUCUGCCUGGUAGUGGGGGAUAACGUUCGGAAACGGACGCUAAUACCGCAUACGUCCUACGGGAGAAAGCAGGGGACCUUCGGGCCUUGCGCUAUCAGAUGAGCCUAGGUCGGAUUAGCUAGUUGGUGAGGUAAUGGCUCACCAAGGCGACGAUCCGUAACUGGUCUGAGAGGAUGAUCAGUCACACUGGAACUGAGACACGGUCCAGACUCCUACGGGAGGCAGCAGUGGGGAAUAUUGGACAAUGGGCGAAAGCCUGAUCCAGCCAUGCCGCGUGUGUGAAGAAGGUCUUCGGAUUGUAAAGCACUUUAAGUUGGGAGGAAGGGCAGUUACUUAAUACGUGAUUGUUUUGACGUUACCGACAGAAUAAGCACCGGCUAACUCUGUGCCAGCAGCCGCGGUAAUACAGAGGGUGCAAGCGUUAAUCGGAAUUACUGGGCGUAAAGCGCGCGUAGGUGGUUUGUUAAGUUGGAUGUGAAAUCCCCGGGCUCAACCUGGGAACUGCAUUCAAAACUGACUGACUAGAGUGUGGUAGAGGGUGGUGGAAUUUCCUGUGUAGCGGUGAAAUGCGUAGAUAUAGGAAGGAAC
rnacentral:rRNA from 1 species